ACCUGCACGGUGGUUUUAUGGGCCGAAUGCUCACUAAACUGACUUAUUCUUCCCGGUAACCUGCAUACAGACCUCCCAGGCCCUGGCGUGAAGGUGGCACUGUGACUAGCUCUUGCCGAUGGAAUGGGAGGAGUCAGUUAGAAAUUUUCAUAUGGUCAAAAUACCCAUGGAAUAUAUGAGUGGCAGCAGUAAACAAUCCUUGAAGUUCUUGCUUGUUUAACUUGACUGUUGGUGAUGCCCAAUGAGGCCCUGUCUGCUCCAAGCAAAUUACAUAAAAAAGAUGUGAAUAAAAACUCAUCAAAUACUAACAGAGACCGUUCCACCAGUGAUGAGAGCAUUCAGUGAGAGCCUGGUGUUCUGCUCAGUACCAAGUGCAGCACUUUCACAUGCUUGAUGCUCAAUGAAUGUUGAAGGAGAGAGUGAAUGGAUACAGAGCUGAAUGAGUAGGUUCACCCUUGUGACUCUCUCAGAGGACUGCCCCAUUGUCUGCAAGCCUGAAAACCAGAAGUGCCUAAGGGGUUGCAUCCUCCCUGCACAGCCAUUAGCCAAUGACUGGCAAAGGAGAGGGAAAGCUCGGAUCCAUUGCCUCGUUUGGGAAAAACUCGGAGACAUGAUUCGCACUCUGGAGUUUUCCUGCAGGAUCAGGCCUACAUCCCCUUUCUGAAAUUUCUCAUAAACCACGGUCCCCUGCUUGGCUUUUUCCCCUUCCCUGCCCAUCAUCCAUCUUCCUCUACUUCUCUCCUUCAUUUCAGAAUCUGCAUCUGAGAAAACUGCCCUAAGAUAAGGAAUAUGCUUAUCUUCCAAUUUGAGUUCUGUAAACAACAGCCAAGAGAGCAGGGGUGACGAUACAGCUGAGCCACAAUCAAGUUUCUUAUUAUUUUCCAGGCACAGAAGAUUCCAGUCCACAUCCUUUCUUCCUUUCAUUCCCAAGAUAUAGCAAUAGAAGUCUGAAGACGGUAAACUCUAAUAACUGUUCCCUGAAUAGAAAAUAACAAGCCUUCCCCUCCAUACCUAACAGUCCCCAAUACAAUUGGUGUUCAUAAUAUGCAGUUUGAAGACAAUGAUGACCAAUGACCAAAGGCAUAAUCUGAAUCACAGCCCUAUAUCAGUGCUCUGGACCCACAUAUCCUCUUGCUUACCCAGUGAUGUUUACCAGGAGGCAUCUUGCCAGAAAGGAAAUCAGCUGUGGGGGCUAUACAGUUCCAGGAGCCAGCCCAUCAAGAAGGCAUUUGUGAGUUUCAGGGCGUGGGGAUACAGUGGAACAAAAGUGGUGUCUGUUUGCUUGCAUCAUGGAAGCAGCAUUGGAAGAAAUCACUCCUGACCAACCGAUGCCAGUUGGUGGAGCCCAGAUUUUUAAAACUAGCUGAUUGCCCAUCAAGAAGGAUGUCCAAGGGAUGAACCCACCAGCCUGACUCUCUCCCUCCCUCUGUUUGAUUUUUUCAGGAGUGCUACUCUGUGAUAGGCUGCACUCAUGUGAUGAUUACUGUAUUGUGCAUUUGCUGAUUCUUAUGAUGUACAGACUUUCCAAAGCUCAGCUGCUUUAUAAUGUCCAAAUUAAUACCAACAGCAUUUCUGGGAAGAGGAAGGGAACUACUGUGACAUAUGGACCAAAUCUGAUGAUUCACAUAAAACUCAUCAUCAUUAUUUUACCUCCUUUGUCCCCUUCUAGUCCUUUAAGAAAUAAGAAUCAAUCAUUGUCACAUUGUCUAGUUAUUUAUGCUGUACUUACCCAAAAAGGUAAGUUUACAUCUCAUGAAUUUUGACUUAUUGAGAAGAAAUCCAAUCUCAGUCCUGGAUUGAGACUGUUCUUGUUGUUAAUUAAUGAAAACUGAAUUAUAGAUUGUUUUGUACAAAAAGUGUUAUUGAAAGAAAUGUCACACUAAAAGGUAUAUCAAAAGCC
rnacentral:lncRNA from 1 species